rnacentral:tRNA from 1 species
GCCAUUUUAGCUUAGUGGUAGAGCGUCUGUUUCGUAAGCUGGAGGUCGCCAGAUCAAUCCUGGCAAGUGGCU